UACGUAGGGUGCGAGCGUUGUCCGGAAUUAUUGGGCGUAAAGAGCUUGUAGGCGGUUUGUCGCGUCUGCCGUGAAAAUUCGAGGCUCAACCUCGAACUUGCGGUGGGUACGGGCAGACUAGAGUGUGGUAGGGGAGACUGGAAUUCCUGGUGUAGCGGUGAAAUGCGCAGAUAUCAGGAGGAACACCAGCGGCGAAGGCGGCUUUCUGGACCAAUACUGACGCUGAGACGCGAAAGCGUGGGGAGCAAACAGG
rnacentral:rRNA from 1 species